GACAGUUUAGAUCUGUGGGUGGCUGUAGAGGAGGCUUUGCCGGCCGUGUCAGACCUGCCGGCACCUUGCAUGAUUCCAGUAGCACCAGUGCCACCUUCUGUGGAAGGCAUGGGGCCCUCUGUAGAGUCCUUGCCUCCUGUAAACAAUUUGGUGCAUGACGUGGAUUUGGGUCUUCCUGGCACAUCCAUCUUUCUUUCCUCAGACCAGUCUAGGGAUAGUGCUGAGGCUGUGCGACGAACGAGACGUGCCACAGCGGGGCAACAUUCUAACAUCCAUCAUCUUCCGCGAGCAGUGGAAAAUGCAAGGGAUGAGGUAUCUGUUUCAGGGACGGUGUCUAGUAUUAGUUCUGGGUUGUUUAGGCCUUGGUACUGAUGUUCUCUUUGUAUCUAUCGUCGGGGCGACGACACAAAAGUAGGGGGUAGAUUGUAGUGAAGUCGUGUGACGUCAGUACAAUUUGGUAGGUGGCCAAUUAGUAAUUGCCCAUUUGUGGUAUAUAAACCUUUCAUUCAGGCAUCUUGGGGUGCGUCAUGGUUGAAAGCCCGCCCCUUCCGUUGUAAACACCGACUGAGUGUCCUGCUGCGUUGCUGAGGGUUUGUGCGUGUGGGUUGCUGCUUACUCCCAGUAUGAUGUGCCUUCAGCGCUUCCAUCGUUGUGGCAUCGCAAUGUAAUUGAUCGGAGCACCAGCUGUUUCAGUCAACGAGCCUGUUAAAUGAUUCUCUGGUAUAUGUUGACGUGUAACUGGAUCGUACUCUCUGGUCUUCGUGGACUCUAAAGUGGGCUAAUUAAGUGAGCAGUCGCAUUAAACGGUGCGCUCUCCCUCUCCGUCACUCUCUCUCUCUCUUUGAAGCCACGCUGCUGCUUUCUCCACAUCGAUACGCUUAAGUCGAGCGUGUACGUGGGCCUGAGGAUUAAAUUUGCUCUUUUUUUUCUAUUAGUUGGCAUUUCUUUACUAUUGUUUUCUUUGGUUGACCAGUUUUCAAGUUAUGUAAGUUUGAGUGACUGUCUGUCUGAAAUCACUGCUGGGUGUGUUCCUGCAGCGGUCACAGUGUAACGUAUUUGUUUAUUGUUUGGUUGUAGAGUGUUUAGAGUUUUCUUUACUUUGGGUUUGAUUUGAGGGAAAUAUUUUCUUUAUUAUUAUUUUUGUGUGUGUGUGUUGAUUAUCAUGGACUAAGUUAAUUAGACCGAUUGUGAAUGUGGUUUGUUUAUGUUUUCCUUGUUAAAUUAAUGUGUCGUGCCAUCAGGCAUUUAUUCGAUUCUGAUUGAUUCUGCCUGUAGUAAUCGCUGUGUCCCUGCAGCGGUCAUUUGAAAUUGUUUCAAUUGUUUUUUUUUUUUAUUUUGAAUUGUCUGUCUUUAAUUCGUUAAUAGUAUUCCUAUAUUGUUUGUCUUUUUGGUGUGUGUAAGUGUUUUUCUUUCUUUGGUUCUUGCUACGUUAAAGUCAAUAAAUUGACUUUGAAUAUUGUUUUUUUCUAUUAUUUUCAGUUUCUUUUCUAUUUUCUUUUUCUCUUUUCCUUUAGGAGCUGAUGCCCUCCUGGAGCGGGCUGGUUGUCUGUUUUACAGCAGGUUUUGUUCACUGAGAAUGUUAUUGCAGUUUCAUUAUUGCCGUGUCACUAUCUUUGGCUAUUUGCAGUGAAUUGGGUGGGUGUAAGAGUGGUUGCCGUGUUUCUUAUGGUGGACCUGCUGCUGGCACACUAGCCUGCUCCUGUGCUGAAGCCUCAGUCUCCGACGUUAAGUCAAGUGUGUUAUUAAUUUUGUAAAAGUGUAUUGAGAAUCUGGUGAGCUUAUAAUAAGCCUUGUGGAGGUUUA